rnacentral:rRNA from 1 species
UACGGGGGGGGCAAGCGUUGUUCGGAAUUACUGGGCGUAAAGGGCUCGUAGGCGGCCAACUAAGUCCGACGUGAAAUCCCAAGGCUUAACCUUGGAACUGCGUCGGAUACUGGAUGGCUUGAAUUCGGGAGAGGGAUGCAGAAUUCCAGGUGUAGCGGUGAAAUGCGUAGAUAUCUGGAGGAAUACCGGUGGCGAAGGCGGCAUCCUGGACCGACAUUGACGCUGAGGAGCGAAAGCUAGGGGAGCAAUCGGG